rnacentral:rRNA from 1 species
ACCGCAUAAGACCACGGACUGGGAUGUCUGUGGUAAAAGGAGCAAUUCACUUGAGGAUGGGCCUGCGGCCUAUCAGGUAGUUGGCGGGGUAACGGCCCACCAAGCCUAAGACGGGUAGCCGGACUGAGAGGUUGAACGGCCACACUGGAACUGAGACACGGUCCAGACUCCUACGGGAGGCAGCAGUGGGGAAUUUUGCGCAAUGGGGGAAACCCUGACGCAGCGACGCCGCGUGGAGGAUGAAGGUCUUCGGAUUGUAAACUCCUUUUGUCGGGGAAGAUAAUGACGGUACCCGAUGAAUAAGCCACGGCUAACUCUGUGCCAGCAGCCGCGGUAAGACAGAGGUGGCAAGCGUUGUUCGGAAUUACUGGGCUUAAAGGGCGCGUAGGCGGUGGAGUAAGUCUGAGGUGGAAGAUUAGGGCUUAACCCUAAAAUUGCCUUGGAAACUGCAUCACUUGAGUCAGCGAGGGGAUGGCGGAAUUCCAGGUGUAGCGGUGAAAUGCGUAGAUAUCUGGAGGAAGGCCGGUGGCGAAGGCGGCCAUCUGGCGCUGAACUGACGCUGAGGCGCGAAAGCGUGGGGAGCAAACAGGAUUAGAUACCCUGGUAGUCCACGCCCUAAACGGUGGGUACUAGGUGUAGGGCUCGUAAGGGUUCUGUGCCGUAGGGAAACCAUUCAGUACCCC